rnacentral:rRNA from 1 species
GACAGGUGCUGCAUGGCUGUCGUCAGCUCGUGUUGUGAAAUGUUGGGUUAAGUCCCGCAACGAGCGCAACCCUUAUCCUUUGUUGCCAGCGGUCCGGCCGGGAACUCAAAGGAGACUGCCAGUGAUAAACUGGAGGAAGGUGGGGAUGACGUCAAGUCAUCAUGGCCCUUACGACCAGGGCUACACACGUGCUACAAUGGCGCAUACAAAGAGAAGCGACCUCGCGAGAGCAAGCGGACCUCAUAAAGUGCGUCGUAGUCCGGAUUGGAGUCUGCAACUCGACUCCAUGAAGUCGGAAUCGCUAGUAAUCGUGGAUCAGAAUGCCACGGUGAAUACGUUCCCGGGCCUUGUACACACCGCCCGUCACACCAUGGGAGUGGGUUGCAAAAGAAGUAGGUAGCUUAACCU